GAAGCAGGCUAAGAUGGUUGCCCCGCUGUUUGAAAACAUCGGGGAGGAAAGUCCGAGCUCCAAAGGAUAAUGCAUCCUGAUAAUUCAGGACGCCUCCAUUUUUCUUUAAAAAAAUGAGGGCCGGAUUAGAGCUACAGUGACGAUACCCCGGUUUACGCCGGGGGGUGAAACGAGCAAUCUCUGCAUGGAGCAAGGCCAAAUAGGAGAAGAUUUCGGCGUCAUUGCCGAAAGCGAAGCGAUCCGCUUCGUUCGUAUUCUCGGGUAGGCUGCAAGAGUUCGGCCCGGCAUCCGUCAAGAACGGAUUCCGGGAACUCGCUAAAAUUUUAUGAUUUUAGCGGUGGUGUAAACCCCGAAGUGAGUCGAAUAACCAUCACCCAGAUUUCUUUUUGGGGGAGACAAAACUCGGCUUAUUAGCCUGCUUCCAAA
rnacentral:RNase_P_RNA from 1 species